rnacentral:rRNA from 1 species
AAAUAGCUGCAGAAUUUUGACUGUGCUAAGGUAGCAUAAUAAUUUUCUUUUUAAUUGAGAGGUUGGAUGAAUGGGUUAACAGAAUCGUUGCUGUACCUUGCUUUUUUUUAAAAUUUUCUUUUAAAGUUAAAAAGUUUUAUAGCAAAAGACGAUUAGACCCGUGUGAACAUUUUGCUUCGCUCAAUAUAAUUACAGAAUAGAAAUUUAUUUUAUACAAUAAGUUCGACUCGGGGCGGUUAAUAUACUAUAACUAUUUUAUAUAAGAGACAAAAAUGUAAAUAUUUAAAACACUUAGAAAAUUGAAUAAAUUACUCCAGGGAUACACAGCACAAUUUCUUUUUAU